rnacentral:lncRNA from 1 species
CGAAUGAAUAUGUUGAAUAUUGAAUUGGUUCAUUUUAUAGUUGUGUCAUGUUGGUACCAAAAUGAUACCGAUACUGUACCGAUACCGUUUGGCACGGUAUGGUACGGUACUAACUUUGGCAAACGAUAAUCCCAUACUGUAUCAUACUGGUUUUAAUUUCUGGUAUCGAUAGCGGUACGAGCUUAAUACCGUACCGUGCCCACCCCUAAUCCCGGACAUUUCAAAGGAAAUAUACUAUUAUUUUUCUUCUUUUUUUUCCUUUUCCCAAUCUUUUUUUUUUGUUCGAACCCAACCUUACUUUUUCUCUCCUUUUUCAUUUCAGUUUUGGCUUUUUGUAUAUAUUUUUUUCUUUGUUCCUUUUUCUCUUUACUUCGUGUUUACUUUUUAUUUUGCAUUUUCCUUUUCAUAUGUUUUUCUUUAUUACAUAAUUUUAGCUCAUUCAAUUUUAUAAUUUGUUGUUAUCUAGCUUUUAUCUUAUAUUUUCUUACUUGUUUCAAAUAAUUAUAUUUUGAGUUUUAAAAAAAAGAAGUUAUUGUCUUGCUAUUUAUUUUUUU